rnacentral:tRNA from 1 species
GGGUUAUUAGCUCAAUUGGUAGAGCAUUUCGCUUACAACGAAAAUGUUAGGAGUUCGAAUCUUCUAUAGCCCA